rnacentral:rRNA from 1 species
CUAACCAGGAUUCCCCUAGUAACGGCGAGUGAAGCGGGAAGAGCUCAAAUUUGUAAUCUGGCGGCUUACGGUCGUCCGAGUUGUAGUCUGGAGAAGCGUUUUCCGUGUCGGACCGUGUACAAGUCCUUUGGAACAGGGCGUCGUAGAGGGUGAGAAUCCCGUCUUUGACACGGACUGCCGAUGCUUUGUGAUGCGCUCUCGAAGAGUCGAGUUGUUUGGGAAUGCAGCUCAAAACGGGUGGUAAAUUCCAUCUAAAGCUAAAUAUUGGCGAAAGACCGAUAGCGAACAAGUACCGUGAGGGAAAGAUGAAAAGCACUUUGGAAAGAGAGUUAAACAGUACGUGAAAUUGUUGAAAGGGAAACGUUUGAAGUCAGUCGCGUCUCCUGGGACUCAGCCUCGCCUUGUCGCUUGGUGUAUUUCCUGGGGCGACGGGCCAGCAUCGAUUUUGACCGUCGGAAAAAGGCUUUGGGAAUGUGGCACCUUCGGGUGUGUUAUAGCCCUGGGUCGCAUGCGACGGUUGGGAUCGAGGACCGCAGCACGCCUUUUUGGCCGGGGUUCGCCCACGUAACGUGCUUAGGAUGCUGGCGUAAUGGCUUUAAGCGACCCGUCUUG